GUGCCUAAAAUUCUUAUGAGGGAGGGAGGGAGGGAGUUUUAACAUCAGCGUCCGUGGCAGAGGAGGAAAAAAAGAGAUCGGAGACCGGAGACAGAAAGCAGUGAAGUCUUGUUUAACAUUUUUAUACAGCAGCAGUGAUAGUGAAUAAUAUCGAAGAUGAGCAAAGGGAAGGAAGUGGUGAUAUCAACAAGCCCUCAUUACAGCAAUCACAACAGUGGCGUAGAAGAUGAUGAAGAAGAAGACGGCUUCGAUCACUCCGGAAACAACAAACGAUUCUCCUCUUUCCCAAGUUUCUCUUCCCGAAAUGCUUCCUCUAAAUAUGACUUUGUUAAGGUGAGGGUGUGGUUAGGUGAUAACGCUGAUCACUACUAUGUUUUAUCCAGAUUCUUGCUCAGCAGAAUGUUGACUGUCACUAAGAUACCGAAUCAUGUAGCUAUUAAAAUUGCUCUUGAGCUCAAGAAGCUGCUCAUUGAUAACAGCCUUCUCGACGUAUCUCAGUCUGAUUUGGAAGCUAAUCUAUUCAAGCUUAUGGAGCGGCGGGGGUAUGGAGAAGAGUACAUAAAUCGUUACAAGAUGAUGACGAGAUUUCAUCAUCAAAGAGUGCCCUUGGUGAUCCUUGUUUGUGGAACUGCCUGUGUUGGGAAGUCUACCAUAGCUACCCAACUCGCACAACGGCUGAAUUUGCCUAAUGUCUUACAGACAGAUAUGGUGUAUGAAUUGCUGCGAACGUCAACUGAUGCACCAUUGGCUUCUACUCCUGUAUGGGCACGAGAAUUCACCUCUUCUGAGGAGUUAAUCACUGAAUUUUGUAGAGAAUGCAGAAUUGUUCGUAAAGGUUUGGCUGGUGAUUUGAAGAAAGCAAUGAAAGAUGGAAAGCCAAUAAUAAUUGAGGGGAUACAUUUGGAUCCAAGCAUUUACUUGAUGGAUGAAGAAAAUAAAUUACCAGCUAAAAUGCCAGAAAAAUCUGAGAUGAACCCUGUUUCAGUGACUCCAGAUGACGAUCCUGCAAGACAGAUGGAAAAUAGUUCCACAAGUGUUAGUAGAAAUCAUCCUGAAAAUAUCAACUGCACUCCUGGGGAUUUGGCCUCAGAAGAAGGGAAAUCUGUUAACCAGGUGAAUAAAGUUGUGGAUUCUCAGGGAUCUAGAGAUAAAGCUGGAAGCAUUGUUGACAAUAAAGGUGAAACUGUUAAAGGUCUUGAGGGAGAUAGAAAGACUUCUGUUAGCUUAAAAUCUGGUCCUGAACCAAUAAUUAUACCAAUAGUUCUGAAGAUGGCUGAAUUCGACCAUAAGGCAUUACUUGAGGAGUGGAUCUCAACUCGUUCAUUUAGUGAUAAAUGCCCUGUUGAGGAAAAAGAUAGGUUAAUUACCAAUUUGAAAAUCAUUCAGGACUACCUUUGCUCUUUCAAGUCACAGGGUCUGACUGUUGCCAAUAUAUCAGCCACAACAUUCCCUCAAACACUGGAUUGGCUGCAUGGCUAUCUUCUUCAGAGUAUUGAGCAUGGCAUUUCAUCGGUGUCCAGUGAAAAUGAUAGACAUCAAGCUCAAAAUUAGAUUACCUGCAGAUGUUAGCUUGAGCAGGACAGGUAUGAAUCGGACCUUGCAUGCAGAGCAUACUUAACUGCCAUGACACUUGAUGCAGACUUUUGAUGAAAAACCUACCAGGCAAUGGGAAGCUACUAUCAGGCAAUGAAAGAGUCUCCGCAGCUUCUUGUGAUGGCAGCACUUGCAAGUUCUUGUAAUUUGGCCGCCCCAUAUGAUGGACCCAACUUCAAACAUUACCCACCAAAUUCGGUUAAGAUAAUUUGUUGUAUCAAAGACAUUUUUAUCACUCGGGUUCUCACAACUAGAGAUAGAUAUGCCAUGUUCACUGCGCUUAUUAAUGUUAUAGUUAAAAUUUCAGUACUAA